ensembl:miRNA
CCCGCUGCUCUGCUGCAUACCCCCAGAGGCUGCCUUUGGCGUAGUGGGCUCAGAGCGGGCACAGUUCCCG